rnacentral:lncRNA from 10 species
CACAAGGCUAUCUUAACAGUAACUGCCUUUAUUUCUUUCAAGGUUUUAAUAGAAAAUAUUUCACUCUUUGCCUGCUUUAGCUUUUUCUAAUUCUAAUGUAUGAUAUUCUAUUUAAAAUUAUUCCUAUCAGAUUGCUUAUUUAUAUGCACCAAAACUGCAAUCCUUCUGGCUGUGAAACAUACAGAAGAAACUUUAAAUAUAAUUAAGAUAGCAGCAGAGGAACAUGGAAGAGAGGAACAUAGGUUUAUAAAAUAUAUUGUGCAAAAGAGCUUACUGCACUUAUAAGAAAUGAGAGAGCUUUAUAGGGGAUGAUCACACAGCCUUGAAGAAUGCAUUAGUAAUAACAGAUAACAAGGAUGAGAAGAUAUUUGAGGAAAUAACAGCAAGUGCAACAUCAUGGAGAUGAGAGAGAAAAUGGUAUCAGGACAAAAAGCAGUUCGGGCUUUUGCAAUCACCAUAGGAAGAAGAUUCCACAGUAGCCUGUGAUUCCAGAAGAAUGAAAGACAUGUGGAGCAGCUAUGGACCAAGUUAACUAGAAGCCAACUUAGAUUAGCCAUUCUUCAGCCACAGACAUGCAGCACGUGGUUGGGUGCAGCUUGCAAUCACAAAUCAAAACGGAAGAGGAAGAGGACAACUGUAUAAAGCAGCGUGAUUUAAGUUGAUCUGUGGGACAAAGAGUUAAGCCACAAAUAUUUGGGGAGAGAGAUAUUCAAACAUCCCAACAACUUGGAGCAGCAUGGGAUUUCUAAAGAAGCUGACAAAGGAGAAAAGGCCCAAGAAAGCAACUCUGAAUCAAAAAGCCAUUAACUCUUUGAGAAUGUCUUACUGGUCUUACUCUGACCAGUAAGAAAGAGUAGACAGAACAAUAAAACUUUAUCUUUUUUCCCUUAUGUGCACUACUCUGGGACAUUUUCUCUCAACUGCUUGUCCAGAUAUGUCCUGUGGCUCCCUAUUAAGUGAUGGCACCUGUUAUACAGCUGCGUGUGAAGGAGUGGCCAGUAACACGUCACUUUGCAUUACUUUCCAUCCUCUGUUCUUCCUUUCCUUUUCCCUCACUUUUGCUGGCUGGGAUUUUAUCUCAAAAUAAGAUAUUAGCUCUUAACCCUUGCCUAAGACUCUAUUUUAGGAUAGCAUGGAAUAAGAUCGUGGAUUAUCUUUGAAAUUAUCCAGGCUAUUUCUAUUGAAAAAGACACUAUUAAAAUGACCAUAGUAAGUAAUGUAUUAAGAUGGGAUUUUCUUUAGAAAUGUUACCAUAAAUUCAUAUUUUGUUUUGAUUUCCAAGUAGACUUACCAGUUUAACAUAAUGAAAUUAUCUAAAUUAAUUAUGGCAAACACAUUUUAAAAAGGUGAAAUCUU